UGGAGGAGGUGCAAGCUCGCAAGGGUC
rnacentral:piRNA from 1 species